UGUACAUAUAUAUAUAUAUAUAUAUAUAUAUAUAUAUAUAACAUAAUUUACAAUGGUAGUGGACUUUCAGAUUAUAAAAAAGCAAGAAUGCAGGGUACGGAUGUAUAUAUAAUAUAUAUUCAUAUUGCAAACCUUAUUUCACAAUUGACAUUUCACAUAACAAUUGAAAUUCGUAGAUUUAAUAAUUGUGUAAAUAGAAUUUUGUCUUCAGUGUGCUCAAUACUUUUUAUAAGUAUUUACAAUGUUCAAGAGAAUCUAGAAUGUGUUGUAGAAAAUUACUUUGAUAACAAUCUGAUCGAAUUGAAUGGAGUAAGAAUCAAAUAAUGGAAUGUUUAUUUAUUUCUUUAAUAUUCCAUGGGUACAUUGGUUGUUAUAAAAAAGAAUAACUGGAAGAUUUAUUAAUGUAAGGCAUAGUAAAAUUUAUUUUUCUUUUUCUAUAAAUACUAAUGGUCAUUGUUCACUUACCAAAAAGUAGACAUAAAUUCAAAAAUAUCGUCAGAAUCAGCAUGUUCGGCGACAUAAUUGCUGAUUGUAUAGGCACUUGAUCUUCCUUAGAAUUUUGAGAUAUCCUUGAUACGUGUAUUUGGGAAUUCCCUUGCAAUACUUGAAACGAUACUCACGCGAUACUCCGUCCUUUCGUUCUUUUAUAUACAAAAGAGUUGUAGCGGAUAUAGCAAGUGGGCGGUGAACGUAUGUUCACGGCUGCAAAAGUGGGGACUUCGACAAAGGUCAGUGGCAAGGUCUGCGAUCCGUUGAGAAAGAUUGUCACUGAAAAACGAAGACUCGCACCUUUUGGAAUUCAAGUUAUCGCGGCGUUAACGUCUACAAAUAAAAAUCAAACUCAAACUGGUAUCCAUUUAGUUGUACACAAGCAUCUGAAUCAAUUUCAACGAAGUAUCAAAUUUCAAAUCCGUAGAAAAGAUACUAAUGUCUGUUUGAGUUUGUUUUUUCUUCUUCUUUCCAAUAAACUGACGAUUUAUAUCUACAGUUAGUUUACGCUCCUAUUUUAAGAGUCAUCCGAGAAUCGUACAAUGGAAUUCCCGACGUUUGCGUCUUCAGAUGAUUAUCUUAAAGUUGUAAUCAUCGUGCGCGACAUAUAUGAUUUACAAUACAGCAGAAAAUGUAAAAAAAAAAGAAGAAAAGAGGAACCUAAAAAAGAAAAUUACUUGACGUUGCAUAUUAUCAUAAAAAAGGAAUUGAUUCAUUCCUUUGUAAACAGGUAUCGAACAGAUAUACUUUGCACCCUCCUUGGCGCCAUGUCAGAAUGAGAAAUGUACCAUAAAUGUACGGCUUUUGUUAGAAGAGUAGUGACGUGUUUAUACAGGGUGGAGCAUGUAAUUGGAACCGCUUCGAUCACAACGCAGGUAGCCACUACGCGCUGCAUUAUUUCAAGUGAACUUAAUAUAAUUAUUUGUAUAGUAAUAACUUCAUUUCGCUUGUAUUUUAUUACAUUUUAUGAUUGUCUUAAUCUCUUUGAGUAGAAAUUAAAUCUUGUUUCGUAACAAGAGGUACAGAUAAUAGUAAAACAAAUUUAAUGACGUAUAUCAUGAUGAUUAUUAAAUAGUUUAUAGUGAUAUAAUAAUAAAUAUAAUAAUGCAUAAUUCUAUUUCAAAGAAAUCGUUUAAAAUUUUGUAAAUUCUGUACCAUCCCUUUAGAGAAAAACUAAUUACAUCAAAUGAUAUGUCCUUGGAAAUCAUUUAAUUUUUAUUUGAAAUAUUUUUUACUAAAAGCAUUAAUUAUACAUAUUAAUCAUAAUGGUUCCAGAUAAAUGUUUCACUUUAUGUGUAGAUCAUACAUACAAGCAUAAAUCAAUUUGCAAAAAUAAAUAUAUGCACUUCACGUACUUUGUGGUCAAAAUGAAAGUAUUUCAUUUGGACAUUUAUUUAAAAAAUUGCAUUUCCAUUAUGGGAUCAUUGUUGAUUAUUAAAUAACAAACGUAUAUACAUGUAAUAAGUUACUGAGUAACGCAAUGAUAGAUUUAAGCUCAGACGUAUUCAUUCUAUUAUAGUAUUAAACUCUUGGCGAUCGAUUUCGCAUCUUGUGCGGACUUUAAAUUUUUCCCUCGUUGAGUAGCCCCAGAUCCACGUAUGCAACUAGUUGCCUUGUGUUUGCUGUAUGUCUGUUCCUUUGAUCGUAAUAUGAAUUUUUGUAUUAGCAACUUAUACUACAAUUUGGCUUGUAGUAUAUAUAAUACACAAUAAUGAACAUAAAAGCACAUUCUGUUUGCAAUAACGUGAAAUAGGUGAGAAGUUUUUUUAUCUUAUAUCUUCCAAGUGUAUAGAAUAUUGUAAAUCAUUAUUAUCACUGUAUUUUAAUUUGCUCUUUGAAUGCCAUCGUAAGAAUAGAUUAUGAACAGAGAGGAAACAUAAAAGAAUACAAAGUAAAAUAAAAGCUACUGUUGCAAAAUAAAACU